AAAUGAAUAGACGGGGGCCCGCACAAGCAGUGGAGUAUGUGGUUUAAUUCGAAGCAACGCGAAGAACCUUACCUGGGCUUGACAUCCCGACGACCGCUAUAGAGAUAUAGCUUUUCUUCGGAACGUCGGUGACAGGUGGUGCAUGGUUGUCGUCAGCUCGUGUCGUGAGAUGUUGGGUUAAGUCCCGCAACGAGCGCAACCCCUAUUGUUAGUUGCCAUCAUUCAGUUGGGCACUCUAGCGAGACUGCCGGUGACAAAUCGGAGGAAGGUGGGGACGACGUCAAAUCAUCAUGCCCCUUAUGUCCAGGGCUACACACGUACUACAAUGGCCGGUAACAAAGUGUUGCGAAGCUGUGAAGCAGAGCCAAUCACAAAACCCGGUCCCAGUUCAGAUUGUAGGCUGCAACUCGCCUACAUGAAGUUGGAAUUGCUAGUAAUCGCGAAUCAGAAUGUCGCGGUGAAUACGUUCCCGGGCCUUGUACACACCGCCCGU
rnacentral:rRNA from 1 species